rnacentral:rRNA from 1 species
AUUGAACGCUGGCGGCAUGCCUUACACAUGCAAGUCGAACGGCAGCACGGGAGCAAUCCUGGUGGCGAGUGGCGAACGGGUGAGUAAUAUAUCGGAACGUGCCCAGUCGUGGGGGAUAACGCAGCGAAAGCUGUGCUAAUACCGCAUACGAUCUAUGGAUGAAAGCGGGGGACCGUAAGGCCUCGCGCGAUUGGAGCGGCCGAUAUCAGAUUAGCUUGUUGGUGGGGUAAAAGCCCACCAAGGCGACGAUCUGUAGCUGGUCUGAGAGGACGACCAGCCACACUGGAACUGAGACACGGUCCAGACUCCUACGGGAGGCAGCAGUGGGGAAUUUUGGACAAUGGGCGCAAGCCUGAUCCAGCAAUGCCGCGUGCAGGAUGAAGGCCUUCGGGUUGUAAACUGCUUUUGUACGGAACGAAACGGCUCUUUCUAAUAAAGAGGGCUAAUGACGGUACCGUAAGAAUAAGCACCGGCUAACUACGUGCCAGCAGCCGCGGUAAUACGUAGGGUGCGAGCGUUAAUCGGAAUUACUGGGCGUAAAGCGUGCGCAGGCGGUUAUAUAAGACAGAUGUGAAAUCCCCGGGCUCAACCUGGGACCUGCAUUUGUGACUGUAUAGCUAGAGUACGGUAGAGGGGGAUGGAAUUCCGCGUGUAGCAGUGAAAUGCGUAGAUAUGCGGAGGAACACCGAUGGCGAAGGCAAUCCCCUGGACCUGUACUGACGCUCAUGCACGAAAGCGUGGGGAGCAAACAGGAUUAGAUACCCUGGUAGUCCACGCCCUAAACGAUGUCAACUGGUUGUUGGGUCUUCACUGACUCAGUAACGAAGCUAACGCGUGAAGUUGACCGCCUGGGGAGUACGGCCGCAAGGUUG